rnacentral:lncRNA from 1 species
CGCGGCGCCGCACCCCGAGCUCGGGGGGCGCUCGGCCCGCAGCCCCCGCCUGCAGGGAGCGGGGAGGGGAUUUCUCCCGUUUCACCGUCGGAUUUUCAAGCCCGAGAAAUUCGCUUUUGACAAGCGGACGGCUAAAGCAGAUUAACCUUUCUGCUAAUCUUCUAUAAUGGCUUCGGAAUCUCCUUAACCAAUAAGGAAAUGAUAAGGGGUGCAGAGAGGUGUCUGCCGAUUGGGAUUGAUCACAGCAGCCAUCAAAAGUCUCCUUUGUAAGAUCUGGAUCCUAAAUCCCAUAAUUCUUUGAUAAAAGAGGCAUUACCGGCCCAUUUUCCGAAGUGAAAGGUAUGGGAGAGAUGGGGAAAAAAAAAGCAAUCAGCAGAGGCACUAAUAGGCUGUGUGUGUGUGGUGGGAGGCAGGCUGGGAAGGGCCCUUUGUGAAGGAAUGGGGAAUGGGGAUUAAUCUGCUUCGGCCGUCUGAUUAGUACAGCUGAGAGCAGAAUGAGUCUGAUUUGGGGAGCAGGGCCUG